GGACGUCGGGUUUCCGACGAAUUUUCUGAUAGUCCUGGGAGUUCUGGAACGUAGGACAUUACCAUUUCAAACGUUUGAAAACGUUUCGGCACGCUCGACACGCUUGAGCUAUGCACCGAGUGUGAAUUAUUCAACGGGAGUGCGCGAAAUUCGUUCCGUUUUAGCAUUUUCGGGCAUUCUACCUUCAACCACUACAAACCUCUCAAGGUUAGCUUUGUUGCCACGUAAAAAAGGACGAACUAAUGGAAUUCACUCUGAGUAUGAAAAUGGAAAAAAUAUAUGUACGAUAUGCAAAUUACGCAUAAAAAGGACACUCACCACAUGUCGAGCAGCAAGUUCGUGGAAUCCGUAAACCACCACGCAAAAGUGCACUAGGAU